UACAGAGACUGCAAGCGUUAUUCGGAUUCACUGGGCGUAAAGGGUGCGCAGGCGGUCGGGUGUGUCAGAUGUGAAAUCCCGAGGCUCAACCUCGGAACUGCGUCUGAAACUACUCGAACUAGAGUACUGGAGAGGGAAACGGAAUUCACGGUGUAGCAGUGAAAUGCGUAGAUAUCGUGAGGAACACCAGAGGCGAAGGCGGUUUCCUGGACAGUUACUGACGCUCAGGCACGAAAGCAUGGGGAGCAAAAGGG
rnacentral:rRNA from 1 species